UACGUAGGGUGCGAGCGUUGUCCGGGAUUAUUGGGCGUAAAGGGCUCGUAGGCGGUUUGUCGCGUCGGGAGUGAAAUCCACUGGCUUAACUGGUGGCUUGCUUUCGAUACGGGCAGACUGGAGGUAUGCAGGGGAGAACGGGAAUUCCUGGUGUAGCGGUGAAAUGCGCAGAUAUCAGGAGGAACACCGGUGGCGAAGGCGGCUCGCUGGGCCGGUCCUGACGCUGAAACGCGAAGGCGUGGGGAGCGAACGGG
rnacentral:rRNA from 1 species